CCAACAUUUAUGACCCGGUCGUGAUGCUAAGACCAGCUCGUAUGCGGAAGUGCUUAAACAUGCCCAGUUGGCCGAAGAUCUUAUCUCGACCAAGCACCAAUGCUUUGCCCGAGUCCAUACCCAACACCUUUAUAAAAAACUGCCCUCAGCGAUAAAAGGAUGUUGCCCAACCCGUAGCACAAGGUCGAGUGUAGCACUUAGAUGAAUCUGAUGUCCUU
rnacentral:lncRNA from 1 species